AAGAAUCCCAGGCAAGCUCCGAUCCCCCAAUGCAGGGCUGGAACUCACAGAACCGUCAGAUCAUGACCCCAGCUGAAAUUAAGAGUGGGACUCUUAACCAACUGAACCACCCAGGCACUCGCCAAGUACUGGUUUUCAAUCCACCACCUGAAUGACCGGUGGUGUGUGUAUGUGUAGAAUUUUAGCAAUUUAGUCCCCUCACUUGCAACUAUCUAUUUAGUGGGUUGUUAUACAAACUCACCCAGCCUCUGGGAAAGGGGCUUAAUCCUUCUGGGCCUUAGUUUUCUCUUUCUAAGUGAUUAGGUUACAUAAAGCCAGGAAUAGCAUGUAGGAAAGGAUGAUGGAGGAUGUUUUUCUUCCUCCUCUUACAGUUUACUUCCCUGUCUGCUUCUUCCCUUCCAGGGUAAGCCAUCUCCCUCAGUGCUUAGAGUUCCACAGUGAACGCUGACUAACCAGGUACACUAGGGCUACCAGUCCACAAAUAGAAUAAUAACUAAUAACAAUGACCUUUCAAGAUCUUGUUGGGGGCAGGGUCAGGAGGAACGCUCACCUCAGCUCCUCUCAUCCCUGUGCACACUCCCUUGUUCCUUUUUCUCCUUGUCCAGAAUGCCCCCAGCUUUACACCUUUUCUCCUCCUCCCCCCAUCACUCUUCAUCUCUGCUGGGCCCUCCAUGGCAUUGCCUUUGAAGUUUGUUUACCCCCAUGGAUUGCUGAGGAUGUCAGCUGGUUCUUGUGCAUCAGAAACCCUAAAGCCUGGCCCAGCAGAAGAUCUCCCAAAGGUGCUGAUGGUCAUCUUAACAUCAAAGUCUUCGAAUAGCAGUGGUUAGUUACGUGAAGACCCCUCAAGACCUGGGCUUUACACACCAUAGUCCCAAAUCUGUCAACAUUCCAGCCUUGUCCUGUAAUUGAACUGCUCGUGUUCCAUCGAAAUGGCCUUUUAACAGGAAGUUGGAAGAUACUCACUGCCCAGGUCAGUAAUAAUAAGUAGCUGGCCACUUUGUUCUGAAAAAUUUUUAUAAAUUAUUUUAACAUUUUUCCUAGGACCAAUUUUGACAACCUUCCACUUUUCCCGAAAUCUUUCCAUUUUGUUGUUUGUUAAUUUCUGGGCAUCUAGGCUGUGUCAGGAACUGGUAACACAGCAGGAAGGAGGUAGCAGUUUCCUUCUCAGGAGGCUGUCACAGCCUGUCAGUAUCUACAUUCAGUGAUUACCACCUGACACACAUAUUUGAACUUGUAUGUAUAUAUUUUUUUAAAUGAUAUUAUGUGCAUCUGCUUAUCUUUAUACGUGUUAAAGUUACAUAUUUAAGAAAUACACGUAUCUUGGAGACUUUCAUAUCAAUACAUGGAGCUGGCUCAUGCAUUGUUACUGUUGUACAAAGUUCUAUAAUGAAAAUUACAUGUGUUGCUGAAUAUGUGUGUAGUGUUAUUUCCCUGUAUAAGUUUUUAGCUUGCCUUUGAUUUAUUCUGUUUAAUCAAAGUUGGUUUUGAAUUUUUGUCUUUCCAGAAAAUUAGUUCUUGGGUUCUUUUUUUCUUCUCCAUUUGAUUCAUUUAUUUGUGUUGUACUUAUCUUUUCUGUUUCCUUAGGACUUUGAGUCAAAUGUGUAGUUCAUUUGUUUUCCUUAUUUAAUUAAUAGUGAGGGCAUUUUCAGGUCUUGAAAUUACCCUAGGUAUUAUAUUUGGACACCAGGCAGAACGGUUUCCAGAUAGAAGGAUCAAGAUUACAUGGGUCCUAAUGAGCAAAUACGUGGAGGGUCACAGAAUGUAUUCUUGAAUAAAGGUUUACACAGUGUUACCACACUCUGCUAGGCUGGAUUUCUGCCAAAAUGUUUUGAUAGUCACUCAAGAUUCUAAACUCUUGACUCACUCCCUAGGAUGUGAGCCUUUCAGAGUUCUUAAUAGCACUAUAUAUCUCAAGAUUGCCCCUUAUCAUCCCUUACCUACCCUCUUGUCUCAAAGCCUGGCCUUGUCUUCAUAGUCUCCUCUUUGAAGACAUCCUCUUGUUUUUUUUACAAUUUCUUCAAUCAUUUAUUCACUCAACAGUUUCCUGAGCUAGAGAUGGAGUCAUUGUCUUAGCAACUGGGGAUAUAUAUGGGAAACUGAAAUAAAGACACCUGCUCUCUUGUUUAAUAUUUGUUCUAGGUGUUCAGUCAGAUAACAGAACAAGUUGGAAAAGACCUCUUUUUCUGUAUUUGUAUACAUAUGUGAUCAAAAUUUUAUUUAGAACUUGCCUUCUGUAUGACUUAUCUGGUAUAAAAAUAGGAUGAGACAUUUCAUUUUUGUUAUUCAGUGUGGUUCUCUCCAGUGUAAGUUUUCUGUUUUGUUGUUCUGUCAAAUAAGGUGGGAGCUAAGGCUAAUGAUUUGCCUGCACGGAUUACAUUGAGGAUCUGCUCUCAUAGGAGUCCUCUGAUGUUGAAUACAAUGAGGACUCCUACUGAAGGGCUUCUUGCCAGUGGGUUCUGUGACUCCUGAAGCCUUCCUAAGACCCGAUUACAUUCUCAUGAUCCUGAGUAAGAGAGCUGUGCUUGAAAGAAACCUUUUCACACGGUCAUAGUCCCUUGGCUUUGGAGUUCUCAUAGCAUGACAGGUUCAUCUGGACCAACUACGCAAGACUGCAGAGGAUUAACCUGAGCAGAUUAACAGCAACCACUACAGUGAAAGCCCAACAGCACUCAGAAGGCCUGACAUAGCACAGUGAAGCGAGAUCCCUCUUUGUACACUUGCGCCAAAACUCGACUAGACCAAUUCUGCAUCAAGGAAUUCUAAAUGCAAUCAUGCUGACAGGAUUUUCUUAAUGAACCCCUGACAAACUGAUGUCAAGCACUCAUCUUGCAAACCAGGUGGGUGAAAAUAGUUCAUAGUUUGGUUUUUUUGUUUGUUUUUUUGGUUUUUUUUUUAGAAAUACUGAGAGGAACUAUCAUUUAUCCAAGUUAUAAAACUACCAUAUGUACAGCAGUAUGUGUACUCAGACUAAGAGCUACGAAGCAGAAGGGACCAAGACCGAAGCCUAUGCCCAAUAAGUACCAUGGAAAUUUAGUCUGUAAUAAGGACGGUGUUUCCAAUAAGCAGAAGAAUCUAGUCAAAAUUCGUUGAAAGAACACAUGCUCCAUACCAUAUACACAAAGAAACUCCAGAUAAGUGCAACAAUCAGACAAAAACAAACAAACAAAAAAAACCCUGAAAUACAAGAAAGUAUUUAUGAAAUCUGCCUAUCUAUGAAUGGGAUAGGAAUAAAAACAGAUCUGAAAGGAAAAAUACCUAAAUUAUAUAACUUCUUUAUGAAAACUAAAUUUAAAGGUAGAAGAUAAAUGGGGGCGCCUGGGUGGCUCAGUCGGU